rnacentral:rRNA from 1 species
GAUGAACGCUAGCGACAGGCCUAACACAUGCAAGUCGAGGGGCAGCACAUGAGUAGCAAUACGAUGGUGGCGACCGGCGCACGGGUGAGUAUCGCGUAUGCAACCUACCUUCCCCAGGGGGAUAGCCUUCCGACAGGGAGAUUAAUACCUCAUAAAACAGGGGCCCCGCAUGGGGAUAUUUGUUACAGAUUUAUCGGUGGUAGAUGGGCAUGCGUUCCAUUAGCUAGUUGGCGGGGUAAUGGCCCACCAAGGCAUCGAUGGAUAGGGGAACUGAGAGGUUUAUCCCCCACACUGGAACUGAGACACGGUCCAGACUCCUACGGGAGGCAGCAGUGAGGAAUAUUGGUCAAUGGGCGGGAGCCUGAACCAGCCAAGUCGCGUGAAGGAAGACGGUUCUAUGGAUUGUAAACUUCUUUUGCACUGGGGUAAAACGGGGGACGUGUCCCCCUUGCAAGUACAGUGCGAAUAAGCAUCGGCUAACUCCGUGCCAGCCGCCGCGGUAA